GUUGAGAUGGCAAAGUUUUUCUAAGGCACCAAAUUAAGGUUCUGGUCCGAAAGGGCGUGGGUUCAAAUCCCACUCUCAACA
rnacentral:tRNA from 1 species